GGCCUUUACGAAAGUCGAAUAUUCGGCCUUUCACGCCGGCAACGCGGGUUCGAUUCCCGCUGGGGUCACCA
rnacentral:tRNA from 1 species